rnacentral:rRNA from 1 species
GACGAACGCUGGCGGCGUGCUUAACACAUGCAAGUCGAACGGAAAGGCCCUGCUUUUGUGGGGUGCUCGAGUGGCGAACGGGUGAGUAACACGUGAGUAACCUGCCCUUGACUUUGGGAUAACUUCAGGAAACUGGGGCUAAUACCGGAUAGGAGCUCCUGCUGCAUGGUGGGGGUUGGAAAGUUUCGGCGGUUGGGGAUGGACUCGCGGCUUAUCAGCUUGUUGGUGGGGUAGUGGCUUACCAAGGCUUUGACGGGUAGCCGGCCUGAGAGGGUGACCGGCCACAUUGGGACUGAGAUACGGCCCAGACUCCUACGGGAGGCAGCAGUGGGGAAUAUUGCACAAUGGGCGGAAGCCUGAUGCAGCAACGCCGCGUGCGGGAUGACGGCCUUCGGGUUGUAAACCGCUUUCGCCUGUGACGAAGCGUGAGUGACGGUAAUGGGUAAAGAAGCACCGGCCAACUACGUG